rnacentral:lncRNA from 1 species
GUGGUAUUACCGAUGACAUCAAUCACCAGAGGAAGCUACUUCUUGAAGCUGCCGCGGACGCCGGGGCGGCCCUUGGAGGUCUCGGGGGCGCAGCUGACGUGAAGGUUGAUGAGCUUGGACUCGUCGAAUGGGACCUUGGGGUGGCGGGCGUCGUGGUGGAUCUGCAUGGACUUGAUGUCGGGGGCGGUGGUUUUGCAGAGGGGACACUCCAGCUUGGCGUGGCCGCCCUUGUCGUGGCCCGACCGGUCCGCCAGUCCCGCCU